rnacentral:lncRNA from 1 species
GGGACACAGCCAGCUGGGGAGACAAGAUGUAACACGCACACGAAGUUUAAAAACACUGCACAGAACAAGGGUCUGUGCCACUGCUUGCCAAACGAAAGGCAGAAGACUACCAGAAAGUAAAAAGCCUGACUACUCUAUGUGUUUGUAAAGAUGUGGAGAGAUGGGAACUUUCUCCACGGCGUCCCAAACCCUCUGGAAGAGCCAAUUGGCAGCAUCCGGGAAAGUUAAAGCCACGCCUUCUCUGUGUCCCGUGAACUCCCGUCCUGGGUAAGGAAGCUAGGACGUGUGCACCAGGAGACUUUACCAGUACGCCCAUCGCAACCUUACUGGCUGGAGGAAUUUGCGAUGAGAAUGAGAACCUGCUGUCUAGCGGAAGCCAGAGCUGGAGGAGCUGUGCCUUCGCCCCACCAGCCAGUCCCCUCCUCCCACGCCGCGGGACCUGUCAGCGCUGUCUCCAUCCGCCCCACACGGAGGCCUGGGAAGGUGCUGUCUAUUGCUUUGGAAUGUUGCACAGCAAACAAUUAUACCUGGUGGGACUCUUUACAGGAGCGUGCCUAUUAACGAUGGCCGCUGUGCCCGGAUUGUAAGACGCUGUCGCGCCCUCAGAUAUGGAAUCGUGCAGUGGACGCAUACAGGCUGGGGAAGGCUGUGUGGUGCAGUGGGAGCCACAGCAAGGCACCUGACUCGAUUGUCAGGGAAGUGAGGGCUCAGAGGUGGCUUCCUGGAAGAAGAGAUUCCUAAACCCAGUCCUGAAGAUCAAGUGAAGACCAUAAUCGAGGAAGAAUAGGUCUGAAAGAGACAGCGUGAUCGUGCGCCAACCCUGCACACAUUUUCUCUACAACAGGAAGAUGACUUGCCCAGCCUCACACACUUGUUAUCUAUUGUUUUCCUCUUCUGUAAUAUGUAAUUUUGUCUUAAAAGUUUUGAAAUUCUCAGGUAGAAAGUGGAGUAUGAGGGCAAACGAAUGUUGAGUUAUACUUCUUAAUUGUGACAUUUUUAUUCAUGAAAAGGAAAAGAUUUAAUGCCUCUGAUGAGAGCCUGGCACAUUCUAAAAUAAAGAAGGGUCACCACUAACUGAAAUAGACUUUUUUUUUUUAAAGAUUGGCACCUGAGCUAACGUCUGUUGCCAAUCUUUGCUUUUGUUUUUUUUUUCUUCCUCUUUUCCCCAAAACCCCCCAGUACAUAGUUGUAUAUUCAAGUUGUGGGUGCUUCUAGUUGUGGCAUGUGGGACACUGCCUCAGCAUGGCUUGAUGAGUGGUACCAUGUCCGCGCCCAGGAUCCCAACCGG